rnacentral:misc_RNA from 1 species
UUAUUUGGGAGGCCCCAUCAAAGUCAAUUACAAGAGCUUUCCUUUAUAUUAAAAAAAAGUUCAGGCAUUAAACAAGUUCAGGCCUUAGUAAAUUUCAAGGGUUUCAAGAUCUAUACAGAUCGAGAGGCCCCCAAUAAUCCUAUACAACAAAAGUUGGAUAGAGGGUUUGUUUUGAUACUGAAACAGGCGUGCUCAUUGGAAUACCAAUGAGCGCAAGUUGCGUUCAAAGACUCGAUGAUUCACUGAAUAUGCAAUUCACACUAGUUAUCGCACUUUGCUACGUUCUUCAUCGAUGCGAGAACCAAGAGAUCCGUUGUUAAAAGUUGUUUUAUAGAUUUUUUAGGUCUAUGUUACAAUAUUAAUUCUGAAUUCAUUUGGUAAAUAAUAAUAGGAUACCAGGCCUAAACCUGAUUAUGACUCGGUUAACAUCUCCAAUGUCUAUCCUUAUAACAUUGGAACAUCCCUCAAACGUCAAAUAAUAAUACAGUUCACAGUAAAUAGAUAAUAAUGGACAAGCCAAGAUUAUUGAUUAUUUAAUGAUCCUUCCGCAGGUUCACCUACGG